GCCUGACAGAUAUCUCACUGGUGUAACUGGGUUGUCUUCUCUACUAUGCAUGUCAGAACAAUAAAUGUGAGCCUUAUUUUGAUAAUGAAAUUGCUUAGACUCACAAAGUAAAUGGAGUUUCAACUCAAGAAGGAAAUGAGGCCACAGAGGGAUUAAGGGUUUGCUCUCUACAAGUUUAUUAUUAAGUUCCUUUUCCAAUUUUCCCUGCAAAUUAAAUAGCUGGCAUGACAUCUUUUAGCUACGUUUUUUUUAGAUGUACGCAUGCAUAUAAGCUGUGGUUCCAAUCUAAGCACUUAGUUGUCUGUUUCAUGAUGAUCAUUUCUUAUUUGUCAAAAUUCAUAACUAGGAGUGGCAUUUAGAAAGUGCAUAAAGAGCAGCGGCAGAACAUACCUUAACGGCUUAACAGGCAUUUUUAAGCCAUCCCUUCGGAGUUUCACUGGAAACAAAUGCGAUAGACAACAUUCUUGCCCCGCCCACUUCAUGCUCCUGCCCUGUUACACCAUCGCUGAAACACCAUGACAAGAGUGCCUAACAAGAAUGACAACUUGCUUGAUGUGCCAUUACAAUUUGGUUUUGUAUUGCAUCUUUUAGUGUCAACUUGUGAUUCCAUUACAUCUCUGAUUGGACUCAAGAGCUAGCAGCAGGUGGAGUGUUUUGUUGUUGUUGUUCUUGUUGUAAAAUCACUAUAACUAAUUAGGUUAUGAAAAUAUGUUAAGAAAGCCAAAUAAGAGAUCAUUUUUUUUUUUUUGAAAAAGAAAAGAGAGAUCUUUUGUUAUUCAAUAAUCUUUGUAAUUUUACUCUGAACAGGAGAGUUAAUUUUGCUACUCACCAUUCAUCAGCUGUAUAAUGGUAAUUUCAAGGUUAAUCUUC